rnacentral:rRNA from 1 species
CAUGGCCUCUUGCAACCCAUAAAUAAGAGGUCCAACCUGCCCAGUGACAAUAAGUUUAACGGCCGCGGUAUUUUAACCGUGCUAAGGUAGCGUAAUCACUUGUCUUUUAAAUGAAGACCCGUAUGAAAGGUGUCACGAGGGCCCUCCUGUCUCCUACUUCAAGUCUAUGAAAUUGAUCUGCCCGUGCAGAAGCGGGCAUACCCCCAUAAGACGAGAAGACCCUGUGGAGCUUAAGACUAUAACCAAUCAUGCCUAGUAACCUGCCCACCAAACGGCACAAAAGGUCCAAUAAGCUUAAUGACAAUGGUUUACUGUCUUCGGUUGGGGCGACCAUGGGGGACAGAAAAGCCCCCAAGAAGAAGCAGGGGACCAAUUCCACCGAUCCCUAAGAGUCAAGAGCUACAACUCUAAACAACAGAAAUAUCUGACUAAUAAUGAUCCAGGUAAUAAACCUGAUCAACGGACCAAGUUACCCCAGGGAUAACAGCGCAAUCCUUUCCCAGAGCCCAUAUCGCCGAAAGGGUUUACGACCUCGAUGUUGGAUCAGGACAUCCUGGUGGCGAAAAUUCUACCAAGGGUUCGUUUGUUCAACGAUUAAAGUCCUACGUGAU